GAACAGUCUGGGAGCAAGGGGAGAAGGGGAAGCAGAGGCUGCUGUUGGGAGCUGUUGGAUCAGCUCAUCCCAGCUGCUGGAAGCAGAGUUCUCAGAGCCUUUCAGCGCUGCAAUGCUCCAACUUCCCCCUGGUCUGAGAAACUGGGCUGGUUCUGCUGCUUGUGGAGCUCUUCUCUCUGCUCUCUCCUGUGCUGCCUUCCCUGUGGAAUCAUCAGCACAGCCUCACCUUUCACUUCCAACACCUCGGCCCUGACUCAGGGAAAUGGUGCAGGGUGUGCUGGGGGAAUUUAAAACCAGCUGAUGUCUCUGUGCAGGUCUGAGCGACUUCACCAUGAGCUAGAGACAGGGGGAAGGGGCUGGAGCCCCAGGAGCAGCUGAGGGAGCUGGAAAGGGGCUCAGCCUGGAGCAAAGGAGGCUCAGGGGGGACCUUGUGGCUCUGCACAAGUCCCUGACAGGAGGGGGCAGCCGGGGGGGUCGGGCUCUGCUGCCAGGGAACAGGGACAGGAGGAGAGGGAACGGCCUCAGGCUGGGCCAGGGGAGGUUUGGUUGGAUCAGGAAAAUUUCUUCAUGGAAAGGGUUGCAAAGCGUUGGAAUGCCCAGGGCAGGGGUGGAGUCCCCACCGCUGGAAGUGCUCAGCAAACCUGGGGGUGGCACUUGGGGAUAUGGGUCAGUGGUGAGGGUGAUGGUUGGACUCGAGGACCUUAAAGGUCUUUUCCAAACUGAACGAUCCCGUGAUUCUGUGGUUCUGAGUAAGAGCCAGGACAAAGCCAGAGGAAGCAGCAGCAUGAAGGAUACUUGGAAAUCGCUUAUAAGCCUUGCAAGGGUUUUUGUGUGGGUUCUUAACUGGCACGGACAGGGAUUAUGAAAGUCGGUGUUAUUUCCUUGGCUCAGAGCUUGGGAAGUGUCCAGGCUUUGAGAGGAGCUGUGUCCUUUGGUCUGUCUUCAGUUGAUCACCUUUCUACUGAUCCCAAAGCCCAGGAGAAGCUCAGGAGGGGUUUUGCUCAUCAGUUUACAGCUGCCUUCGUGCUGGUUUGCUCAGACCCUCCCAGCUCCUGGUGGAAGGAACACAGCAGCACUGAGAUGGUUCCGCAGCCGUGGGAAAUCAGAAUUGCGCUGAGAUAUUGGGGAGAGGGCAACGAGACAAGGACAGUUACCACUGCCCAGCACAAGGUGUGACUGCACCAGGAGAAGGAUGAGAGAAUCCUGGAAUUCCAGAAUGGGUUUUGUUGGAAGGGAACUCAAAGCCCACCCAGUGCCACCCCUGCCCUGGCAGGGACACCUCCCACUGUCCCAGGCUGCUCCCAGCCCCAAUGUCCAGCCUGGCCUGGGCACUGCCAGGGAUCCAGGGGCAGCCCCAGCUGCUCUGCACAACCAAAUCUUCCACCUUAUCUCCCCUUAGCAGGUUCUGUCACUGAUGUUCAUCUUCCUAGAUCCUCUUUACAGACAAAAUCCUUUAUAAAUGUGGGAAGAAGCAGGAGAGGGCAGAGACAAAGCUCUUCACUGAGCACUUGUAUAGAAAAUGUCUGAAAAUGUUCACAGGAACAAAAGCGUUCAUUUCUCUCCAUUUGCACUGGGAAGUCUGAAUGUCAAAUUCUCCUCUGUUUCCUGCCACUCAUGGGAGAAUGGGAUAAAGGGAUAAUGGGCUAAUGGAGCCCCAAGCAAAGAGCAGUGGGAAUCCCUCCCUGUGCCGCUGUCCAGGAUGAUCUCCAGGAUUUGCCCAGGGAACCAAAGCUGCAGUGCUUUGGGACCCUGAUUGCCUUUGCCUGGACUGAGAAUUCUGUCUCGGUUUGUAAAAUCCAACUCAAUAACAGCAGUCUCUGAUCACCUCAACAAGCACUGGGAACAUUUUUUCUGCCUUUAUUCGUUCAUAGAGGACCUUUCUUGGUUCUUUAAAAUGAUUAAAGCUCAAUUAUUCUUCAGUCACAAUGUGUUCAGUGUUGAUCUUGUAUUGGAACCAUGACCUCAUCAAUAUUCACCACUUCCCAGACUGCUGCAUUUGUUGAUUAAGUAGCAAUUAUCGGAGAUUUGGAGAUGUCUGAUGAGAGAACUAUUUAUUAUCAUCACAGAAUCCCAGAAUGGUUUGGUUUGGAAGGGACCUUAAGGACCAGAUCCAUGGGCAGAGACACCUUCCCCUGAUGUUGGGGGGCAGAACCACCUCCAUAAGGACCUCAAGGAUAAUAAAAAUAGGAUAAAAUAGGUUCCCACGGUAUCGUCCCUCUGUGAUUUGGAAGGAUCCUUCCCAUUCUGGCUGUUGAAAAUGGGCUGAUGUGCCCAGGAUGCCAAAGGGAACUGGAUUUUCCCACCUUUCCCUACCACGAAAUGAUUUUGCUGCCAAGCAAAUAACUUUUAUUCCCCUCUCCAUGGGCCUGCUUUAGGCCUUGCUGAAACAGGAUCCUUGGGGAACCCACAAACAUUUCUGGUUUCAGGUUCCAAGGUCCCAGGGGCAGUUCCUGCUUCUGAAAUCCGGGCACAGGCCAUUUCUGCCAUUCCAUGCCAGGAAAAGCUCAGCAAUCCACCAAAAAUCUCCAGCGGUCUCAGUUAUCGCACCCAGGGCAGGUUUGGGGGUUUUCUCCACUUCCCUGCCCCACACCUGGAUGUGCUCAGCUCCUGCUGGGAUCCCUGCCUGGUUCUGGGAUUUACCUUUCCAUACCAAACCCUCCUAGCAACGGGAAUGGCUAAAGGACCUCCAAAAUCGGGUUACUGCCUCCAGAAGGACACAGCCCCUCCAGCCCUGCCCCCUGUGCUGCCUCAGAACCAGCAUUCCUCGGAACCCUCUUUCUGCUUCGUGUUCCUAUUGAUCCCAUGAAUAAAUGAUCGGCUCCUCGUGAUGGGAAAGUGGUAACUGGAGUUUCCUUAAGGGCACGAGUGCCAAGCUAAAUAUUUCAAGCCCCCAUAAAUAAUUGAAGCUUCUCUUCAGCAGAAGGAGAUUGGGGUUGUAAUUCCUUUUCUCCAUGAGUGAUCUCCGGCCUUCUCGGUGGAGGGAACUCACCUGGGAAGCACAAAUAAUUCAGCACCUGUGCUGCUGGGUUUAUUUCUGUGCCCCAAAGAGGGUCUGUUCCUUCUGCAGCUGCAGUUUCACACCUCCCUGACACAGGGCUGGGCUCCAAGCAGGGAGCUCCCUGCUGAGGUUCAGGCAAAUCCUUCAGGCUCUCAAUUCCCAUCUGGGAUUUGGAUUUCUUUGUGGAUUUUGUGAAAGAUGGGGACAUUGCGGCCUUAAAGAGUCACAUCUUCAUGGUAGCAAAAAGUUUCUUUAAAUAUUCAUUAAUAAUUCUUGUCAAAAUGAAAGGAAUAUCAAGAAGGGAGAUGACAUCACUGGGAAGACCUGGGAGAAGGCAGAGGCUGGGAAGACACAGGAGCGACUAAACUCAUUUUUUCCACCAGCAAAGGCUGAUUUUGGCUUUGAGGAAGGGAUUAACACAACAGCAGAGUUCAGGAGAAGGCAGGAGGUGGAGGAGGACAAGCUGGGCCCCAGGUUUAGAGGUACAGCCCAUGUAGGCCUGACUUCCAUAAGCCAGGAGUGGGCAGGGAGCUCAGGCAGGGGGGUUCCCUCUCUCCUCCUGCUCUUAUCCCUGUUACCUCUGGCAGGAGCAGCAGCACUUUUGGCAGGAGACCAACCCUGAAGAGUGUCCCCAGCCCAGGUGAGUCCAGCUCUUCCUCUGAGCCCAUAAUCCCCUCGUUCCAAAGGCCAGGCCCUGGAGGGGUGCUGUUCUUUUAAUUUUGCUUAUUAGGUGGGCUCAUUAAAGCAGCUGGGGUUGUUUCUGGCUCCUCAGCAUUUUCUGGCUGGACACUGGGUUCUCAGUAGUUCACAGAAAGCUCCAGAAACUUUUUGUGCCAUAAACUGCUGGAUUUUCUUGGAGGUCUUGUGAGGAGAGUUUUCCUCAGGUGGUUGCUAAGGAGCCUUCCACAGGUGCAGUCCCAGCAGAGGAUAAAUUCCCUCAUUGCUAAGGACAGUGAGGAGUUUGAUGCCGUGCUGUAACAGAGAGAGAAACCUGUGACCCUGCUGAGCUGCUUGCCUUGAACUUGUACCAACCCUGCAAGGGGAACGCGAGAGUUGGGCCAGUGGCGUCAGUCAGGGCAGGAAAGUGAUUUAUUCAUAUCAAUAUUCAUAUUUAAAUAUGAAUAUUGAUAUGAUAUCAAUAUCCAACUGAGACGGACAAAAACUCUCUAACAGUUUAGAGUUAGAAAGUGCAUGUUUUAUUUGGCGCCAGGCUCUGCGUGGGAUAGCUCCCUAAGACGCAGGCCCUGAUCCAAGCAAACAUGAUACCUUUUAUUUCCAAAUAUUAUGAAUAUCCAAAAUAAAAAUGCAUAUUCAUAACAUUAACACCUCCCAUUCUCCGCUUCAUAUGGAAAUGAGCUUAAAUGUCAUUAAGCAUGCAUAGUGUGUGUCCUGAAUGGAGUCAGUGGUCUUGAAUUGGGUCAGUGGUCCUAAGGAAGACGAAGUAACUCAUCUUCCUCACUUUGACCUUUUUGCUUCUCUGGACUUUAACAAUCCUAAUUACUUUAGUGACUUCUAAGUUUCCUCUUGCGUGACUUUUGGAUGGGCUCCCACAAAGGGAGGAAAUUGGUAAUUGUCUUUAUUCUCUACACCAAAUUAUCAAUGUUUCUGUUCCUUAUUCUAAGCACAACUAAGCAAACAUGCAAAUGACAGAUCAUCAGUUAUUUGGUAAUCAGUUACUAACAUCUAAAACUCUAUUUCAGGUCCAGCUCUCCUAACUAUUUUGAUUAACCCUCACUGGGCCCAAGCCUACAACUGAAAUCCCAAGCCUAUGACUAAAAUC
rnacentral:lncRNA from 13 species